UAACAUAGCACUCCUCGAGAAUAUCCAAUGUUUCAUCAGAUCUCAGAAGUUAAGCAGGGCAGGGGCUGGUUAACACUUGGAUGGGAGGCCGCUGGGAAUACAAGAGCUGUAGUGG
rnacentral:rRNA from 1 species